CCUACGGUGGCAGCAGUGGGGAAUAUUGGACAAUGGGCGAAAGCCUGAUCCAGCCAUGCCGCGUGUGUGAAGAAGGCCUUCGGGUUGUAAAGCACUUUCAGUGGGGAAGAAAGCCUUGGGGCUAAUACCCUCGAGGAAGGACAUCACCCACAGAAGAAGCACCGGCUAACUCCGUGCCAGCAGCCGCGGUAAUACGGAGGGUGCGAGCGUUAAUCGGAAUUACUGGGCGUAAAGCGCGCGUAGGCGGUCUGAUAAGCCGGUUGUGAAAGCCCCGGGCUCAACCUGGGAACGGCAUCCGGAACUGUCAGGCUAGAGUGCAGGAGAGGAAGGUAGAAUUCCCGGUGUAGCGGUGAAAUGCGUAGAGAUCGGGAGGAAUACCAGUGGCGAAGGCGGCCUUCUGGACUGACCCUGACGCUGAGGUGCGAAAGCGUGGGUAGCAAACAGGAUUAGAUACCCUUGUAGUC
rnacentral:rRNA from 1 species